rnacentral:rRNA from 1 species
GAUGAACGCUGGCGGCGUGCCUAAUACAUGCAAGUCGAGCGAACGGACGAGAAGCUUGCUUUUCUGAUGUUAGCGGCGGACGGGUGAGUAACACGUGGAUAACCUACCUAUAAGACUGGGAUAACUUCGGGAAACCGGAGCUAAUACCGGAUAAUAUUUUGAACCGCAUGGUUCAAAAGUGAAAGACGGUCUUGCUGUCACUUAUAGAUGGAUCCGCGCUGCAUUAGCUAGUUGGUAAGGUAACGGCUUACCAAGGCAACGAUGCAUAGCCGACCUGAGAGGGUGAUCGGCCACACUGGAACUGAGACACGGUCCAGACUCCUACGGGAGGCAGCAGUAGGGAAUCUUCCGCAAUGGGCGAAAGCCUGACGGAGCAACGCCGCGUGAGUGAUGAAGGUCUUCGGAUCGUAAAACUCUGUUAUUAGGGAAGAACAUAUGUGUAAGUAACUGUGCACAUCUUGACGGUACCUAAUCAGAAAGCCACGGCUAACUACGC